CCAUCCUACGGGGGGCAGCAGUGGGGAAUAUUGCACAAUGGGCGAAAGCCUGAUGCAGCAACGCCGCGUGAAGGAAGAAGGGUUUCGGCUCGUAAACUUCUAUCAACAGGGACGAAAGAAAUGACGGUACCUGAAUAAGAAGCCCCGGCUAACUACGUGCCAGCAGCCGCGGUAAUACGUAGGGGGCAAGCGUUAUCCGGAUUUACUGGGUGUAAAGGGAGCGCAGGCGGCGCGUUAAGCCUGGUGUGAAAGCCCGCGGCCCAACCGCGG
rnacentral:rRNA from 1 species